UACGUAGGGGGCAAGCGUUGUCCGGAUUUAUUGGGCGUAAAGAGCGUGUAGGCGGCCAGACAGGUCAGCUGUGAAAACUCGAGGCUCAACCUCGAGACGUCGGUUGAAACCGUCUGGCUAGAGUCCGGAAGAGGAGAGUGGAAUUCCCGGUGUAGCGGUGAAAUGCGCAGAUAUCGGGAAGAACACCCGUGGCGAAGGCGGUUCUCUGGGACGGUACUGACGCUGAGGCGCGAAAGCUAGGGGAGCAAACAGG
rnacentral:rRNA from 1 species